CGAGUGUGUUACGUGGGGCGGACAGCGGACAGCGGCUAACAAUGGCGAGACUGGCGAGGCUGGUGUAGAGUUAUUCACCAUUAACUGACUGAUAGAUCGCCGCGCACUCUGUUUACGACGUGUGUUCCGGUUUAUGGCGCGCAAAAAAUGGACGCUGACGCAGGACGCUAGUGAAAUGCAGCGUCAUGUGGAGGUAUUUACGAGAUGGCGGCGACGAGGCUGUAAUGGUGGUGGCGAUAGCUUAUCCUGGAGUUGACAGCCCUGCCGCCGUGUCAUCCUCAGUGAGACAACACAGCCACAUCAAUCCACUGAGCACUCAAGUUAAGGAGAGGAGUUUUGAGAGAGGUCCAUUCACUCAGUCACCUUCACCACCAGGUUUCCCUGGGCACCUUUGGAAUGGAUGAUGUCAUGCCUUGAGGAGUGGACACACACCUCAUGGUCCUGGACGGAUGGUGCCGGCAUAUCUGCCUCCACCUUCAUCUUCUUCACACCACCAAACUCACGCACAACAAUGGCUCUCAUCACGGCGGCCAUGGAGCUCCUCAAC